rnacentral:siRNA from 1 species
UAAAGCGGUACGGUUUAGAUGUGG